UACAGAGGGUGCAAGCGUUGUUCGGAAUUAUUGGGCGUAAAGGGCGCGUAGGCGGCGCGGUAAGUCACUUGUGAAAUCUCUGAGCUUAACUCAGAACGGCCAAGUGAUACUGCAGUGCUAGAGUGUGGAAGGGGCAAUCGGAAUUCUUGGUGUAGCGGUGAAAUGCGUAGAUAUCAAGAGGAACACCUGAGGUGAAGACGGGUUGCUGGGCCAACACUGACGCUGAGGCGCGAAAGCCAGGGGAGCAAACGGG
rnacentral:rRNA from 1 species